AAUCCAUAGGUUAAUGAGGCGAACCGGGGGAACUGAAACAUCUAAGUACCCCGAGGAAAAGAAAUCAACCGAGAUUCCCCCAGUAGCGGCGAGCGAACGGGGAGGAGCCCAGAGCCUGAAUCAGCAUGUGUGUUAGUGGAAGCGUCUGGAAAGGCGCGCGAUACAGGGUGACAGCCCCGUACACAAAAGCGCAUGUGCUGUGAGCUCGAUGAGUAGGGCGGGACACGUGGUAUCCUGUCUGAAUAUGGGGGGACCAUCCUCCAAGGCUAAAUACUCCUGACUGACCGAUAGUGAACCAGUACCGUGAGGGAAAGGCGAAAAGAACCCCGGCGAGGGGAGUGAAAAAGAACCUGAAACCGUGUACGUACAAGCAGUGGGAGCACCCUUCGGGGUGUGACUGCGUACCUUUUGUAUAAUGGGUCAGCGACUUAUAUUCUGUAGCAAGGUUAACCGUAUAGGGGAGCCGUAGGGAAACCGAGUCUUAACCGGGCGUUAAGUUGCAGGGUAUAGACCCGAAACCCGGUGAUCUAGCCAUGGGCAGGUUGAAGGUUGGGUAACACUAACUGGAGGACCGAACCGACUAAUGUUGAAAAAUUAGCGGAUGACCUGUGGCUGGGGGUGAAAGGCCAAUCAAACCGGGAGAUAGCUGGUUCUCCCCGAAAGCUAUUUAGGUAGCGCCUCGUGAAUUCAUCUCCGGGGGUAGAGCACUGUUUCGGCUAGGGGGCCAUCCCGGCUUACCAACCCGAUGCAAACUGCGAAUACCGGAGAAUGUUAUCACGGGAGACACACGGCGGGUGCUAACGUCCGUCGUGAAGAGGGAAACAACCCAGACCGCCAGCUAAGGUCCCAAAGUCAUGGUUAAGUGGGAAACGAUGUGGGAAGGCCCAGACAGCCAGGAUGUUGGCUUAGAAGCAGCCAUCAUUUAAAGAAAGCGUAAUAGCUCACUGGUCGAGUCGGCCUGCGCGGAAGAUGUAACGGGGCUAAACCAUGCACCGAAGCUGCGGCAGCGACACUGUGUGUUGUUGGGUAGGGGAGCGUUCUGUAAGCCUGUGAAGGUGGCCUGUGAGGGUUGCUGGAGGUAUCAGAAGUGCGAAUGCUGACAUAAGUAACGAUAAAGCGGGUGAAAAGCCCGCUCGCCGGAAGACCAAGGGUUCCUGUCCAACGUUAAUCGGGGCAGGGUGAGUCGACCCCUAAGGCGAGGCCGAAAGGCGUAGUCGAUGGGAAACGGGUUAAUAUUCCCGUACUUGGUGUUACUGCGAAGGGGGGACGGAGAAGGCUAUGUUGGCCGGGCGACGGUUGUCCCGGUUUAAGCGUGUAGGUGUGUGUUCCAGGUAAAUCCGGUUCACUUUAACACUGAGGCGUGACGACGAGGCACUACGGUGCUGAAGCAACAAAUGCCCUGCUUCCAGGAAAAGCCUCUAAGCAUCAGGUAACAUCAAAUCGUACCCCAAACCGACACAGGUGGUCAGGUAGAGAAUACCAAGGCGCUUGAGAGAACUCGGGUGAAGGAACUAGGCAAAAUGGUGCCGUAACUUCGGGAGAAGGCACGCUGACACGUAGGUGAAGUGAUUUACUCAUGGAGCUGAAGUCAGUCGAAGAUACCAGCUGGCUGCAACUGUUUAUUAAAAACACAGCACUGUGCAAACACGAAAGUGGACGUAUACGGUGUGACGCCUGCCCGGUGCCGGAAGGUUAAUUGAUGGGGUCAGCGCAAGCGAAGCUCCUGAUCGAAGCCCCGGUAAACGGCGGCCGUAACUAUAACGGUCCUAAGGUAGCGAAAUUCCUUGUCGGGUAAGUUCCGACCUGCACGAAUGGCGUAAUGAUGGCCAGGCUGUCUCCACCCGAGACUCAGUGAAAUUGAACUCGCUGUGAAGAUGCAGUGUACCCGCGGCAAGACGGAAAGACCCCGUGAACCUUUACUAUAGCUUGACACUGAACAUUGAGCCUUGAUGUGUAGGAUAGGUGGGAGGCUUUGAAGUGUGGACGCCAGUCUGCAUGGAGCCGACCUUGAAAUACCACCCUUUAAUGUUUGAUGUUCUAACGUGGACCCGUAAUCCGGGUUGCGGACAGUGUCUGGUGGGUAGUUUGACUGGGGCGGUCUCCUCCUAAAGAGUAACGGAGGAGCACGAAGGUUGGCUAAUCCUGGUCGGACAUCAGGAGGUUAGUGCAAUGGCAUAAGCCAGCUUGACUGCGAGCGUGACGGCGCGAGCAGGUGCGAAAGCAGGUCAUAGUGAUCCGGUGGUUCUGAAUGGAAGGGCCAUCGCUCAACGGAUAAAAGGUACUCCGGGGAUAACAGGCUGAUACCGCCCAAGAGUUCAUAUCGACGGCGGUGUUUGGCACCUCGAUGUCGGCUCAUCACAUCCUGGGGCUGAAGUAGGUCCCAAGGGUAUGGCUGUUCGCCAUUUAAAGUGGUACGCGAGCUGGGUUUAGAACGUCGUGAGACAGUUCGGUCCCUAUCUGCCGUGGGCGCUGGAGAACUGAGGGGGGCUGCUCCUAGUACGAGAGGACCGGAGUGGACGCAUCACUGGUGUUCGGGUUGUCAUGCCAAUGGCACUGCCCGGUAGCUAAAUGCGGAAGAGAUAAGUGCUGAAAGCAUCUAAGCACGAAACUUGCCCCGAGAUGAGUUCUCCCUGAGACUUUAGGUCUCCUGAAGGAACGUUGAAGACGACGACGUUG
rnacentral:rRNA from 1 species